GGGAAAAAAAAAGAAAAAAACACAACAAGAUUAUUUACGUUUCUUUGUAACCACACGCAGUUUACCACAUUUCCCUGAAUCUGUAUCAAACUUGCUGAAUCCUCGUCGCAGUCCGGACGCAGUACUGCUGGUACAAUAUGUUGAUGACAUUUUGCUUGCUGCUCCUUCUAAAAUAACAGGCAUUGACGCCACCCCCUCAGUUUUGGCUCAUUUGGCAAUCGUUUGCUUGAAGUGUUCAAAAAGCAAGCUUGCCCGCCCUCAAGUUUCAUUCUUGGGCCGCCUUAUUUCACGACAAGAGUUAACGGACUCAAUGCGGGCACUUGUCAAUGAAUGGGAUGAGAAACUUGACCAACCCUCUCCAUUGGACACCGGUAGCAGAAGACUCAUUUAUUGCUUUAAAACUGCAACUGUCCUCUGCAGCUGCGCUAGCUAUCCCUAACUAUUCCAAACUGUUUUACCUGGAUGCGUCCGAAAAAGCCAGCAGCGUUACUGCUGUUCUUUUCCAGAAAGGGGGAGGAGGUGAAUGAAAUGUUUGCUAAUAAGCCUCCACCCCACUUUAAAGCAAAGACAUCCAGUACGCGCAGCAUUCGCAUCCGCCCUGGUCCGACUGGUACAAAAAAAACAUCACAUAGUUUUGCAUCACCCAUUGACCAUCCGAACGUCACACAGCACAGUUCAAUAUUUUACGAGCCAAGCAUUUCCAAUGACAGGAGGAGGACAAAGACAUAUUGAGGCGGCAUUGACACAACCAAACAUUUUUUCCACACAUGAGAAGGUAUCAAUAUGGCUGACGGUUUGAUAGAAGGAGAACCACACUGUUGCACACAACGGGUUGUGGAAGAAAAUACACUCAGAAGUGAUUUGUAUGACACAGCAGUAAGCGACCCAGAAAUGUCUUUGUUCACAGAUGGGUGUUGCUUCAAACGCCCAGAAAACCUCACUCAGGAUUCGCAGUAAAUCAGUGGACGGGAGACACAUUCGCAACGCUUGUGGCCAAAAAAUUAACCAGCAUCGAAUCAGCACAAAGAGCCGAAAUAGUAGCUGUCAAAACUGGAUUAGCCAUAGCCCAAGGAGUUACAGCAAACAUUUACACUGACUCCGCCUAUGUCCAUGUGGUAAUCCACACUGCGCUUGCAGAAUGGCAAAAGAACGAUUUUCUCACUGAAAUGGGGGUUCCAACAAAACAUCAACAAGACAUUUUGGCACUCAGGGACGCACUCAUGUUACUUAAGGCUGUAGCUGUUAUUAAAUGCCAAGGGCAUUCCAAAGGCACCGAUAUCAUCACACAGGGAAAUGCAGCCGCAAACAAAGCUGCAAAAGAUCUCCCAACCUUACAAAUGACAAUCAGUAAAGAGGAACUGAAAGCCAGAGAGGAGGUGAGCAUGGCCACAGUUAGGGAGUGGCAGCAGCAGGCCAGCCCAGAGGAAAAGAGUGCAUGGAAGUCGAAGGGGGGAACGAAGAAUGAAGACGGUGUGUGGACGAAAGAUGAAUGUGGGAGGAAACAGGAGUUCCAGGAGAAAACCCACGCAGCCACGGGAGAACAUGCACAUUCUACACAGGUGUUGCCAGGAUUGAACCCGGGUCCUCAGAACUUCUUGAUCAGCGUGUGAAAAAGUGUGCAAGAUGUACAGCAGAGUAUGAGGAGGAACUUUGUGGACUUAAAGAGGAGAAGGAGCCACAACUACUCUGCUUCCUCAAAUUUUGCAAUGCAAAGCAGCAUUCCCACCUUCACCAUCAGCCUCGUGUUCUGGCCAUGACAGAACGAUCUGGCCACGACACGGACCCAGCAGACUCAGGCCCGGUGUGCCACACUGUCCAGGAUCAAGGAUAGCAUCUCGCCGAACAUGAAGAACAUUUCCAGACGUUUGCUUGCCAGUUGGAGCACCAGGGCAACAUGUUGCGGCAAGUAAUUACCUGGCUUAGUUCCCUGCCUGAAUACUUCCCAGCAGGGAUGACGCCAGCCCGGCGCCGGUAGCUGCCACGGAAUCCUUCCGUCUCCAUGAGUCAGUCCCCUUGGUGGUCCCUGGCACACAUACGGGUGUCUGCUCACCGCUCUCCCAUCUGGAGUGGUUCUCAGGAGACUCUGGUAAUAUCAAGCCAUUCAUCAGCAGUGCGAGCUCCAUUUUGAGCUACAGGCAACCGCUUUUCACUCUGACAGCUUUCGUCUUUUCCCACCUGACGGGACGCGCGGAAACGUGGGCGACACUCAAGUGGAGCUGGACAUGUCGGAUGUGGCCAUCCUUCGUGAAUUCCAUGGCAAAAGUGUUCCAGUCUGCAUCCCCUGAACGCAAAGUGGCGAACUCUUUGAUCACCCUGUGGCAAGGCAAGCACAGGGUUUCCGACUACGCCAUUGACUUCCGCAUUCUUGCAGCUGAAACCAGUGGAACAACAGGGCGCUCCUACUGUAUAUGCAUUCUUUCAAGGGCUGUCCUCCAAGAUAAAGCACCAGAUUAUCCCACUGGACUUGCCAACAGACCUGGACGCACACAUUGUUUUAAUUUUAAAAAUUGACAAGAGACUCAUGAAUUCGGAGCCGGACAGCGCCUAGCGGAGGAAUAUGGUUUAUCGUGCCAGGGACAUCAAUGCUCCUCAAGGUGUGUCUGCUGAGCCGGAGAACUGCAGGCAGCUGGGCCGCCUCUGUCUGUCACCUGAGGAACGUAAGUCUACAUCGACUGAAGGAGGGACUCUGCUUCUACUGCGGGCAGUCUACGCCCCCGGUCAAACCAGCUGGUACCUCACCCUGAACCCUGACUACUGUGAAUCUCAACUUCAUCCAGGACAGUCCAGACCAAGCAAUUCCUCUUGUCACCCUGUAUUCAGGAGGACAGCCACUCAGGGUGACUGCGUUCAUAGACUUGGGUUCGGACGUCAAUCUUUUAAAGUCACAGCUGGUCAAAAGCAUGGAUCUCAGGACUUGUGAGGACUCACAUGAUGACCCAGACUUGUCUUCAGUGCCCUCUUGUUACCAUGACCUGAAGGAAGUAUUUCCCAAGUGCAAGGCCAAUUUCCUUUCUCCUCACAGACCAUACAACUGUGCCAUUGACUUGCUGCCCGGCUCCUCUCCCCCUCGCAGGUUACUACUGUAGUUUCCGGCGUACAAGCCACUAUUUUUUCACACCCGUUCAACCGAGCGGCUUAUGCAAUGAUGUGGCCAUUUUUGGGAUUUUUCUUGGCCACAAGGGGUGCUCGAGCAGAAAAGAUAAGUGAGAUGGAGGAGUAUAUGUGUUGAGGAAGACACAAGUUUAAGAUAACUUCGCCCAUUGCGGAUAUUUUAAACAGACCAUUAUCAUGGAGAGUACAAGAAGAAAUUCCUACAACACAGCUGCUCGUGAACUAGGAAUAAAUGGUGAGAGGUUGGAAACAGCAAAGUGAAGAAUUGCAGGAAUGCAAAAAGACAAAAUAGCCCUUAGAGGUUGUAAACCCAGGUGGCCCAAACUGGAGAAUAUUGUCGAAGACUGGGUGAACAAAUGGAGAGCAGACGCCCGAGGUGUUUCCGCUGUGCAGAUAAAAAUGAAAAUGAAAACAAUCGCCACGGAAAACAAAAUUAAUGAUUUCAAAAGAGGUCUGUCGUGGUAUCUUUGAUUUAUGAAGCAAAACGCUCUGUCCAGCUACGAGGAACAAGUCGCAAAUUUUCAACAAUUCAUUCGAACAAAGAUAACAGAGAAUUCUAUCGGACCCGACGACAUUAUAAAUAUGGAUGAGAUACCGCUGACGUUUGACCUGCCCCUCCCCAGGACCGUCAACAAGAAAGGUGAAGCAUCUGUCACACUGAAAACAACCGGCCAUGAAAAGACGCAUUUCACCUGUGUUUUGGGCUGCACUGCAUCCGGACUGAAGCUUCCACCAAUGGUAAUUUUUAAGAUGAUGACUAUGCCAAAAGAAAACUUCCCAAAAGACAUCGACACAAAAGGGUGGAUGGUAGAGAGCCUAAUGAUAGAAUGGUUGACCAAGUGUUAACGUGUACCUGUAGAGCUCCUUUUCUCCUUCUUUCGUAUCCAACCUGAAGUACAUGUCGUCAUAUGCCUCUUGUUUAGCCUUCGCUACCUCUACCUUUGCCCUACGGCACACCUCACUGUAUUCUUUAUGCCUCUCCUCAGUCUUUUCCAUGUCCCACUUCUUCUUCGCUAAUCUCUGUCCUUGGGUGACUUCUUGUAUUUUUGGGUUCCACCACCAAGUCUCCUUCUCCCCUUUCCUACCAGAAGACACCCCAAGUACUCUCUUGCCUGCCUCUCUGAAUACCUUAGCAGUAGUAUUCCAGUCUUCUGGGAGCUCUUCCUGUCCAUAUAGAGCCCAUGUCACCUCUUUCCUGAAGGCCACACAACAUUUUUACUUUCUCAACUUCCACCACCUGUUUCUCUGCUCUACCUUUGCCUUCUUAGUUUUCCUGCCCACUACCAGAGUCAUCCUACACACCAACAUCCUAUGCUGUUGGGCUACACUCUCCCCCACCACAACCUCACAGUCGGUAACCUCCUUCAGAUGACACCGUCUGCACAAAAUAUAAUCCACCUACGUGCUUCUACCUCAGCUCUUGUAGGUCAAUCUAUGUUCCACUCUCUUCUGGAAAUAAGAGUUCACCACUGCCAAUUCCAUCCUUUUUGUGAAGUCCACCACCAUCUGCCCCUCAAACUUCCUUUGCUGAAUGCCGUACUUACCCACAACUUCUUCAUCGCCCCUGUUUCCUUCGCCCACAUGUCCACUGAAAUCUGCACCAAUCACAACUCUCUUUCUGGGAUGCUCAGGACUACUUCGUCUAGUUCCUUCCAGAAUUUGUCUUUCAACUUGAGGUCACAUCCUACCUGUGGGGCAUAACCACUAAUCACAUUAUACACAAUACUGUCAAUUUCAAAUUUCAGCCUCAUCACUUGAACAUCCGUGAAUGUGAAUCCUUUAUAAUACAGAGAAAGGAUUAAACCAGGUUGAGACCAGCCAACGUGUGUCUUCUCAUUCAUCGUCCAAAAAAAUAAACAACGCAUUUAGACCCACUAAACAGGCAUGGGGAGAACAUGCAAACUCCACACCCAUAAUAUGCAGUAAAUCAGAAAGAUAUAGAUACAAAUAUUGUAUACAGACCAUCAAUAGAUUUUAUGAGUCUCUCCCGAGCGCCGGUCAUCAGAACUGUGAGGCAUACACUAGUCUAAGCAUGCAGUUGCCCAGCGUGCCGCCACAUACACACCCUGUCACGAGCAGGGCAAUGGGGGUAGAACCCAAAUGAAAGACUCCAAACCUUUAAACCAGGCAGAGGUUGAUACACAUAUAGGCAGUCCAAAAACACAACAGAACAAUAAUGCGAGGCAGCAGACAACCCCCUACCCCCCAAAAAAAGAAAUAAAGUCAGAUACUUAAAAAAAAAAAAAAAUCAUGGAAUACAAGACGUGACUCUUGGGCAGGCGGCACGGUGGUGGAGCUGUAGCGUGUUUUCCUUCACAGUUCUGAGGAUUGGGGUUCAAAUCCCAUCCCUGCCUGUGUGGAGUUUGCAUGUUCUCCCCGUCCCUGCGUGGGUUUUCUCCCGGCAGGCUGGUUUCCUCCUACAUCCCAAAAUAUGCAUUAAUUGGGGACUGUAAAUUGGCCCUUGGUGUGAUUGUGUGUCUACUGUCUGUCUCUGUGAGCGCUGCGAUUGGCUGAUAGAUGAUGGUUUCAGUUUUCAUAAGUCCAUGAUUUAUUUAUUUAUUUGGACAGAAUUGGGGCUUCCUACUCCCCACAAAAAUUAAUUCCAAAAAUUAGAACACUCCCCAGUCCAAAUUUUACAGGGUAUAAAUGUUUGAAAGUGUCACACGCUACAAACUCAAACCACCUGCACAUGUUU